UACAUGGGGUGCAAACGUUGCUCGGAAUUAUUGGGCGUAAAGCGCACGUAGGCGGUUUGUUAAGUCGGAUGUGAAAUCCCUCGGCUCAACUGAGGAAGUGCAUCCGAAACUGGCAAGCUUGAGUACGAAAGAGGGUCGCGGAAUUCCCGGUGUAGAGGUGAAAUGCGUAGAGAUCGGCAGGAACACCCAGGGGGAAACCAGCCGACUGGGCAUCUGCUGACGCUGAGGUGCGAGAGCGUGGGGAGCGAACCGG
rnacentral:rRNA from 1 species